UACAUUUUAAAAACUUUCAAUAUAAAACAUACCGACUCCUUUAGUUAGGUUUAUUAUUGAUCAAAUAUAUAUCCUUAUAAAAUCUAGAGAAGAAACAACACAUGAUUGGUUUAUACUUUGACUGACACUAGUCUGAAAUCUAAAAGUCGCUGGAUGCAUUUUUACUGUAUUCACAGUGACCACACAGCCUGGAUGUUCUGGAACAGUCCCAACUUCAACAUGGAUAUACUGCAAUAACAAGACAAUCAGGGCAGUGAAGAAUCCCUUGUCAAAACAUGUGUCCCAAUUUUUGGUUUGGAAAAUAUCAUCACCACCGUCAGACUCGAUGCUGCCCAUCAGAAUCUUGCUGAGUUGGCAGAACCAUCUUACAGGGGACAAGAGAGGUGAUUUCAGUAAAUAUAAUAGAAGAGGAAAAGAUAUAUUUUACUCAUACAAUGUAUUUUAAGGAACACAGUAGCAGUCUAAUCUUCCCUCGUAGCCGCUGACAUCUGAGUCAUCCUCUGAAGGUUAUAUACAGUAUCAUCAGUUAGUUUAUGCUAAGCUCUCUAAUAUCACCCAUUUACCUAAUAGUAUAAGAGCUAGUCCUUGCCAAGACGUGGUAUAAUGUAGUGAAUGAAGCCCUAGUAUUCAUAACAGGAAAAAGAAGUACAAUUGUGUGACCACGAGGAAGUCAUUUAGCCCCUCAGUUCUUCAGCAAAUUCUUUAAUAUUAGAAAUUACAGCCAACAAUCUAGGAAAUUUCCACUCAAACACAUUAACAAAAUCAAUAUUUACAUGUUCUCUCUCUCUUUCUGUCUCUGUCUCUGUUGCUUUCCCUCCCUCCUUCCCUCUCUCCCUAACCUGUCCCUCUUUCUCUAGCCCAUCUCUCUCCCUUCCUCUCUGUCUGUGUCUCUGUCUCUUUUUUGUCUCUGUCUCUGUCACUUUCCCUCCCUCCUUCCCUCUCUCCCUAGCCCUCCUCUCUCUGUCUGUAUCUCUCUGUCUCUUUUUAUCUCUGUCUCUGUUGCUUUCCCUCCCUCCUUCCCUCUCUCCCUAGCCCCCCUCUCUCUGUCUGUGCCUCUCUGUCUCUUUUUGUCUCUGUCUCUGUCACUUUCCCUCCCUCCUCUCUCUGUCUGUGUCUCUCUCUUUCUCAUUCUAUUUCCUCCAUCUUUCUGUUUCUUUGUCAUCUUUCUCUACCUCUCUAAUAAUCUCUCUGUUCUUGACUCUCAUUUAUCUUACUUUCUUUGGCUUAUUUUUCUUAUGUCUCUCUGUGUUUCCAUUUUACUGUCUCAAUCUCCUCUCUGGCUGCCCCAUCUCUCUCAUUCUCUGUCUUUUCCUCUCUCUCUCUCUUGCAUAUGCACACAUACAUGCCCAUGACUAAUCCUCACCUGAUAUAUAUUUGAGGCUAGAAAGAGAGAGACAAACAGACAGACACACAGACAGACAGAAAGACAGCCAGACAGAGACAGAGACAGAGAGAGAGAUUGUCCAUUAGGGCAGUAAAUACUAAGUUUCUAUUUCAGCUCUUAUUCCAUAUGUUUUGCCAUACAUUUCUUCUUCAUUUUUUUAAUAUCAGUUCUCUCCCCAAGGGCCUGGCACAAUGGUUAAACCAUAAACACUUAUAGUCAGGAAGAACUGAAUUCAAAUUAGGCUUUAGAUGCUUAUUAACUGUGUAACCCCGAGUAAUUCCAAGAAAACCUUGAAAAGGGAUCAUGAAGAGUCAAACCUGACUGAAAAUGGCUAAACAACAGCAAAACACAUUUUGUAUAUUCUUCAAUAUAUAUAUUUAGGCUUCUUAGCAGGGUCGACCACAUUUUCUCAUUUUUCUAGUUUGGGAGGAUUGUAUAGUCAAUAAAGAGGUGUCCUCAGUCA
rnacentral:lncRNA from 1 species